UACGUAGGGUGCGAGCGUUAAUCGGAAUUACUGGGCGUAAAGCGUGCGCAGGCGGUCGUUCAAGUCGCGUGUGAAAGCCCCCGGCUCAACUGGGGAGGGUCACGCGAUACUGAUCGACUCGAAGGCAGGAGAGGGUAGUGGAAUUCCCGGUGUAGUGGUGAAAUGCGUAGAUAUCGGGAGGAACACCAGUGGCGAAGGCGACUA
rnacentral:rRNA from 1 species